GCACAAUGGGCGCAAGCCUGAUGCAGCCAUGCCGCGUGUGUGAAGAAGGCCUUCGGGUUGUAAAGCACUUUCAGUUGUGAGGAAGGUGGUGUCGUUAAUAGCGGCAUCAUUUGACGUUAGCAACAGAAGAAGCACCGGCUAACUCCGUGCCAGCAGCCGCGGUAAUACGGAGGGUGCGAGCGUUAAUCGGAAUUACUGGGCGUAAAGCGCAUGCAGGUGGUUUGUUAAGUCAGAUGUGAAAGCCCGGGGCUCAACCUCGGAACUGCAUUUGAAACUGGCAGACUAGAGUACUGUAGAGGGGGUAGAAUUUCAGGUGUAGCGGUGAAAUGCGUAGAGAUCUGAAGGAAUACCGGUGGCGAAGGCGGCCCCCUGGACAGAUACUGACACUCAGAUGCGAAAGCGUGGGGAGCAAACAGGAUUAGAUACCCUGGUAG
rnacentral:rRNA from 1 species